rnacentral:rRNA from 1 species
UACGUAGGUGGCGAGCGUUGUCCGGAUUUACUGGGCGUAAAGAGCGCGCAGGCGGUCGUGCAAGUCGCGUGUGAAAGCCCCCGGCUCAACUGGGGAGGGUCACGCGAUACUGCUCGACUCGAAGGCAGGAGAGGGAAGUGGAAUUCCCGGUGUAGUGGUGAAAUGCGUAGAUAUCGGGAGGAACACCAGUGGCGAAGGCGACAUCCUGGACCACGACUGACGCUGAGUGAGCGAAAGCCAGGGGAGCAAACGGG